rnacentral:lncRNA from 1 species
CUUUGAGCAAUAAAACAAUUGCUCAUCUUAUCGAUAAAAUCUUACCAGGACAGAGAAACUUCCACAUGGUAUUUUCAGGGGUGCUAGUCACUCCCUGCGGGACUUUCAUUAAUUUCUUCACCUCGAUUCCCAUGUGGUAAUUCCUAAGGCCCAGUUUAAAGAUGGGUUGAUACUCUACAGUGGCAGAGAGGAGAAUUUCUAAUUGUUUCUGUUCUGCAUUAUGGAUUCAUUUCUGUACUCUCUUCCUCAAUGUACAAGUAAGAUGGCAGUUAUAUAAAAUCAUACACAAUAAAAUCAGGACUAUAAUAACAAAAGGAUAGAAGAAUGAUUUCAUUAUCUGAGAUCCAGUAGGGGACCAACCAGUAAAGCAUUGUACCAAUCAUGGGCUAAAUCAUUCUGAAUUUGUGAACUCACCUUAAGGAGUUCUCCUUUUAGGAUAUGUGUGGCUACCUGUGUGUGUUAUCUUUGGGAAAAAUAUAGUCCCCUGUGUAUGUGGGUGCCCACCAGGUUAAAUUCUUGGCAAAAAGAUCAUAAACUGGUACUGGUAAUGUGUUAAAUUGACAAGCUAAUUUAACAUCCUUUGAUGAUGUAUGAUAUAAUGUAAAAUAACAUGAGCAUGAAAAAUGUGAAACAUUACCAGUUAACCAUCCAUUGCAUUUACUGGAUUGGGGUUUUAGAAGUAACCAUUCAUUAUCUGUGAGGUUACACAUUCCUCUAAUCUUCUCUAGUUUGGGAAUCAUUAGUGUGUUUUCUAAUGCCAAUCCUUGUUGUAUCCAUAAAUACCUGAUGGCACAAGUACUCCAGUUACUUAGACCUGUAGUGAAUUUCAUAGUUGCAACAGUUAAAUUACCUAAAUAAUUAUACAUUGAUGUAUCUAAAUCCAAUCCUGUAACCUGUGAUUUAACAACAGUUGGAACCCAGUUUGCAGUAGCAUGGAAACCAGUCCCUAUAUGCAUGCUGGCUGUGUUUAACUUAUUCUUGAGGGUCUCCAUAUCUAUAACUAUUUAGUAUACCCAUAGUGGUUCCAGCACCUCCUAACAGUGUGUCAUACCAUUCCCUUUUCUGCCUUUGUUUGUUGUAUUACAUAAUGUUACAACAAGAGUAGUGACUUUUAAUGACACAUGUACAGCUUGUAAGAAGGCAGUUGUAUUAACACAUGUGGAUGGAAUAGGUGUGUGUGUGUCGUGUUUGACUUUUGGUUCUAUGGUAGAGGAUAAAGGACAGUAAUAAGGUGUAAAAAUAUAAGGUAGUGUAUAGUUCUCAAUUGUAGUGUCGUUCAUAAUGACUAACAUUUGUCCCCUUCUCCAAUUAAUGAUACCAGUUAUAUAAUCAUUAUUAAAAGUAAUAAGGCCUGUCUGUUUACAUUGAUAUGCAACCUUAACUGUGCACAUUUCUGCGUUAUAAGAUCUAACAAUUUUCUGUGAACCUUCAAACAAACAUAAUGCAUUGGUUUCAUUAGCUGUGGACACAUUCCAUAUGGGUAACUGGUACUUAUAAGGGUUACUAUUUGUCCAAUUCAUCCAAAUGCGUUCAGUGAAUGAAUGAUUGCAUAUUGCAUGCUGAUAGAAAGGUGGUGGAGAAAGGUUCUUGAGGGGGCGUGUGUGACGAAUGCUAGAUGAGGGGCUAAGGCCUAAUUGGGCUGGGGUAUUGAAGAAUUGUUCAUCAUGUCAGAGUCUUUUUCCAGAACUUGCCAUUGACUUGUACUCAUAAUGGCAUUCAAGGAACAAUAUCAGAGGGAGUAUAACAACUCCAGAAAGCAUAGCGCACAACAUAAUCUUGGUCUCAGGUACGUAUGAUCCUCUCAAUCUACGAUAUGGUGUGAAAACCAUGAUGCUUCGCUGAGGAGAAAUUCUUCUGUUUCCGAGCGAGGAGUGGUGUUGUCUUCCUUGGUUCCCCUCUUUGGACACAGCUUCACUCGGGAUGCGUGAAUCCAGAUGUCGUGGGAAUCUGUGAGGACAGCGGUUCUGGUUACAGCAAUCACAGUAGCAGGUGGUCCAAAAGGGUAUCCUCCUUUCUUGGUCCUGUUCAGCUGACGGAUAUACACCUUGUCACCGGGCUGGUAUGAAUGAGUAGGUUCCUGUGAAGGUAAGGGAAAACUGCGAAGAAACAUUGUCAUACAUACCAUUCGGUUUUAUCAACAAUUCCUGUACAUAUUGUUCUUGUAUUAGCUGUAAAUCCCCAGACAUUAUAACAAGCGGUUCCCUGGCCCAGGGUGUGGGAAAAGGUCAUCCCAUCAAAAAUCUCAGAUGGAGAUAAUUUAGUCACCUUGUGAGGAAUCACUCUUAUCUCAGCUAAAAUAGCUGGUAGAUAUCUAGUCCAAUUUACCCAUGUUCCUGGGUAAAUUCUGGGCUUUUCCUUAAUAGUCCUAUUCAUCCUUUCAACUACCCCUGUAUUCUGUGGAUGAUAGGGUAUAUGAAACUGCCAGGUAACUUGCAAGAAUUUAGCAAGUUCCUGGGCAACCCUACUGGCAAAAACCGGGCCAUUAUCAGAGCCAAUCUGCAGAGGGCAGCCAUACCUGGGAAUAAUUUCAGUAACAAUAAACUUCACUAGCAUCUUCCCUAGAUGUCACAAAGGCCUCAUGCCAUCCACUAAACUGAUUAACUAUGACCAGUAAGUAUUGCUGUUUCUUACCAAUUUUGGAUACAUGAAUAAAAUCAAUCUGUAAGUGUGUAAAAAGAGCAGCGUUCACACGAUCUUACAAAAGACUGUACAUGCUGCCUGAGAUUCCUAAUAUAAAAUGAAUUCAUGAGGAAUUGAAUGGUGCUUGCUAUGUGCCUGACUGAUGAAAAUAAAUCAGCUUGCUUCAAGUAUGCCUAUUCUUCAAGUAUGCCUAUUCUCCCCUCUUUAGAGAACAGAUCAUUCUGAUCUUUCUCUAAACCUUAUUUAAUCCAAAAGACAGAUUCUGGGUAUUAAAAAAAGAAUCUCAUAACCACUGAAGCGCUGGGCUGUCAUGUGUUGUGUGGUGAGAUUUGUCAGCUGAGUGACCUGGUGACUGGCAUGAAGUAUUGUAUGAUGCCCUAGUGUGAUAGUAGUAGCAGUUUCAACAGCCAUUGCACAUGCUAUCAAUGCUCUGAGACACGCCGGCAUACCCUUUACCGGAGCUCGAACUACUUUGGAAAAGAAUGCUAUGGGACGCAUACCGCCUCCUUGCUCUUGUGCACAGACCGCGGCCAUGGUUUUACAAUUGUCCCAAGCAUACAAAUGAAAUGGUUUACAAUACACAGGUAGUCCUAAAGCCUGGGCUUGCACAAUAACAACUGUAAGGGCAAUAUAUGCAGCUAGCAUGUCUGGUGACCAGCAGACAUUUUCAGGGCUGUCAGAACGUACAGCCUCCCUUAGGAUUGAGUCAUAAUGGGAGCAUUCAGGGAUCCAUUGGUGGCAGUAAUUAAUCAUGCCGAGGAAGGUGAGCAACUCCUUCCGAGUAGUGGGUGUUGGAAUCCUCUGAAUGACCUCAAUACAUUUUGGACUCAAUUGUCUGGUGCCUAAAGCCAGAACAAAACCUAAGUAUUCAACCUUUGAUUUACACAAUUGCAUUUUGUGUUUAACAACCUUGUGACCUACAGUUGCUGACAGUAUCCACAGUGCUUGCCUCAUAGCUAGGGCUACAUAACAACAAAUCAUCAACAUUUUGCAAAAAGGACGGAACCAUGACCGGUGGUCCAUGUUUUUUAGAGUAUGUUGGAGUACCAACGAAUAAACAGCUGGGGAAUCCACAUAGCCUUGGGUAAGCGUGUCCAGGUAAACUGACAGCCUUCAAAAAGUAAAAACCAUAAGUAGCUGUGUCUCUUGAUCAAUAGGUAUAGAAAAAAUGCAUUACUUAAAUCAAUGACAGUGAAGCAAGUGGCAUCAUGUGGAAUGGCUGUAAUGAGGGAUGUCACAUCAGGGACAAUGGGUGAAAUGGGCACAAUUAAACUAUUCAGGGCUCUAAAGUCCUGAACUAAGCGAUAUGCUGGCCAGUGGUGUUGGGAGUGGGUCUGGUGUUGUUCUUGCCUACCGGGCAUAUUUUGAGAAUUGUGGGGUUGUUGGGGUGUGUGGGGUUUCCUGGGGUUUCCUGGGGUGUGGACACUCAUUCCUCCAGUGGCCAUAUUGGCCACAGUUGAAACAAGUGUUCCUGUCUAUUCCUCCUUGGUUACCCCUGCCCCUAUAACCCUGAUUUCCCUGUCUCCAUCCCCUUGCCCCUCUUUGACCACCCCUUCCACGGGCUUUAUGUGCUCCAUCCCAUCCUCGCUCUCAGCCUGUGUAGCUGGACAUAAUAUGUUGCAAUCCCUGAGCAUAAUAAGCAACCUUACUUUCCUAAAUCUUUUCUUAAUUCAAAACAACCUGCAUUUUCCUUUUCUAUAACCUUGGUAAGAAAAUCUGAGCUAUCCAAAUUGGCCCAGUCUGAAAUCAAUUGUUUCACAAGCAAAGAAUACUGUGGCAACAUAUUA